rnacentral:rRNA from 1 species
GAUGAGCGCUGGCGGCGUGCCUAAUACAUGCAAGUCGAGCGAACAGACGAGGAGCUUGCUCCUCUGACGUUAGCGGCGGACGGGUGAGUAACACGUGGAUAACCUACCUAUAAGACUGGGAUAACUUCGGGAAACCGGAGCUAAUACCGGAUAAUAUAUUGAACCGCAUGGUUCAAUAGUGAAAGACGGUUUUGCUGUCACUUAUAGAUGGAUCCGCGCCGCAUUAGCUAGUUGGUAAGGUAACGGCUUACCAAGGCAACGAUGCGUAGCCGACCUGAGAGGGUGAUGGGCCACACUGGAACUGAGACACGGUCCAGACUCCUACGGGAGGCAGCAGUAGGGAAUCUUCCGCAAUGGGCGAAAGCCUGACGGAGCAACGCCGCGUGAGUGAUGAAGGUCUUCGGAUCGUAAAACCCUGUUAUUAGGGAAGAACAAAUGUGUAAGUAACUAUGCACGUCUUGACGGUACCUAAUCAGAAAGCCACGGCUAACUACGUG